GUGCGCUCCAGGCUCAAGGUCCUCGCUGUGGCCCUGGGGCUCCUGGGGUCAGCACUGUCGUGGGGCUUGAGCGGGGCUGCGUCCGCCCCGCCACCUGCCUCACACGAGGCCAGGCAGACAGCGGGUGCCCGAGGCUUCCCUUUUUUGCCUUCCACGCCUCGGCCACAGAGGCUGGAGCCCCGGCCCCGUGUCCCAACCUGCAGCCGGCCGCGCCCACCCCCACGUGACGGACUGGCCCAUACAUUUCCCCAUUCAGCUGAUGGUGAGUGCUGUGCUAUUUUAAGCCCACAUGGAAGUAUUUUUUUUUUUUUUUUUUUUUGUAAGGACCAUCUGCUACCGGCCCCAGCCCAGAUGAUACAGUUAGAACCUACCCACAGCAUCCUCUCCCGCCUUCAGACAGUUCCAGGAACAAGGCUGGACACAUGUCUUUGAUGACACAACUCCAAGUGGAAAUGGGAAGAUGAUCCGAAUCAGUCCUUGAACCCAGUGACCGAGCGGUGAAGCUCUUACAGGAAUAUCAUAUCCACCUCACUCUGCCUGCUGAUGGUGUCCUUUGGUGCGAGCCAGUUUGCAUCCAGAACCUAGCUGUGAGGAGGCCUGCGAAAUGCCUUCCAGUUCUUGCCUGGGGCAGAAGGAAAGGCCGAAUGGGCCAUUCCAGAGAGUCUGGCUCCCGGGGCAAGGCCAACAGGUAUUGGAUGGCUAGCGUGGAUGUGUGCAACAUUGAUUCUCUAGGAAAAGUUCGGCUCAGACAGACCUCAUGCUUUGGGUGGGUACGUUAUGAAAAGCAACCAUAUCUCCCAGUUUCCACCUGUGAUGCUAGAUGCUUUCGGUCUUAGCUCUCACCGUAGUUUCACACGUGGCCUUGAACAAACCCCAGCCGCCCCAGUUGUCAAAUGAAGGUGUGUGACAAACUCGAGGGCGGCUUUGAGCUCUGAGGCGAUCCCGCACGGUAUCUCUUGAGCUCACACUUUGGGUCUUGAGCUGAGCAAGUCUUAUAAAACACUUCUGUGAAGAGUGACUCUUUGUUCCUGGGUUUUCCAGACCUCAAGGGCACUUCACUGGGGGGUUUUCUGAGAGCUCAUGGAGAUCAAAGCAAAUUAGGAGGAAGAGAACUUGUGGAAAGCUUGGCAAAGCCCGGGCAAAAGUGGACUGUUGCCCAAGCAACCGUGUCUGCUGUUAAAUGCUAGGCUUCGUAACCUCCAGGGCUCUGUCUCAUUUGCUGCUUCCAUGCUAUAGCCUCUUUUCGCAGACGAAGACCCGUGGCUUGGCCAGCCUUGUGACGUUGGGGUGAGGCCGUAGGGACACACGGCAGUGGAGAGAAGAGCUGCCUUGGUCCCAUGAUAUGUCCACUCAACCAACAAGGGUAAAGGGCAUUUUUCCCCUUGGAAGUCUGUCAGUUCCCAGCCAGCUCCUUGGUAUCCAAAGGAGGAAAGCGGGGGGCUGGGGGGAAUCAAAGCAUCGGAUGGGAUCCCUCCUACCUGUCUACUGCUGGGCUCCAGUGAUACGCCAGAAGCUGUUUAACAACUGACCAAAAGAAGAAGGAAAAAGCCCGUGUUUGACCAUUUUUGUGGUGUCAAUACUGUCGUCCUGUAGCAUCUCAGGCCGGCCAGCGAGAUAUCCCCGAACGCACAUUUGGGAAGCGAUGGUCACGCUUGGCUUAGCGAUCUGGUGAGGGCUGGCCUUAGCAUGCCACCGACUUCCGUGGUCCCCCUCAUUCAUACCCGUCGGUGAAAUCCCCCGGUAUUCAUGGAGGGGCGAAGAGCAACCAGCCUGAGGCUCAAGGAGAUG